CGGAGGAUCCAAGCGUUAUCCGGAAUCAUUGGGUUUAAAGGGUCCGUAGGCGGUUUGGUAAGUCAGUGGUGAAAGCCCAUCGCUCAACGGUGGAACGGCCAUUGAUACUGCCAGACUUGAAUUAUUAGGAAGUAACUAGAAUAUGUAGUGUAGCGGUGGAAUGCUUAGAGAUUACAUGGAAUACCAAUUGCGAAGGCAGGUUACUACUAAUGGAUUGACGCUGAUGGACGAAAGCGUGGGUAGCGAACAGGAUUAGAUACCCUGGUAGUCCACGCCGUAAACGAUGGAUACUAGCUGUUGGGGGCAACUUCAGUGGCUAAGCGAAAGUGAUAAGUAUCCCACCUGGGGAGUACGUUCGCAAGAAUG
rnacentral:rRNA from 1 species